rnacentral:rRNA from 1 species
UCCUUGGCUGAUGCAUUCGCAUUACUUUGUCUUUAACAAAUCCAACAAUUUCACCUCUGACUGUUAAAUACAAAUGCCCCCAACCAUCCCCAUCAUUCCUUAUCCCCGUUACAAAACCUACAAGCAUAACAAUGAACUUUGUCAUUAUUCCAUGCUUUUGUAUGCAAGACAUUCAGUUGCUGGAAGCACUCUGAUUUCCUCAAAGUAAUCACC